rnacentral:piRNA from 1 species
UUGAUACGAUAUGUCAUAACAAGGAGGC